AAGCGUGCGCAGGCGGUUAUGUAAGACAGAUGUGAAAUCCCCGGGCCUCAACCUGGGAACUGCAUUUGUGACUGCAUGGCUAGAGUACGGUAGAGGGGGAGUGGAAUUCCGCGUGUAGCAGUGAAAUGCGUAGAUAUGCGGAGGAACACCGAUGGCGAAGGCAAUCCCCCUGGACCUGUACUGACGCUCAUGCACGAAAGCGUGGGGAGCAAACAGGAUUAGAUACCCGA
rnacentral:rRNA from 1 species